AGGGAAUCUUGGACAAUGGGCGAAAGCCUGAUCCAGCCAUGCCGCGUGAGUGAUGAAGGCCCUAGGGUUGUAAAACUCUUUCGCCAGGGAAGAUAAUGACGGUACCUGGUAAAGAAACCCCGGCUAACUCCGUGCCAGCAGCCGCGGUAAUACGGAGGGGGUUAGCGUUGUUCGGAAUUACUGGGCGUAAAGCGCACGUAGGCGGACUAGUCAGUCAGAGGUGAAAUCCCGAGGCUCAACCUCGGAACUGCCUUUGAUACUGCUAGUCUAGAGUUCGAGAGAGGUGAGUGGAAUUCCGAGUGUAGAGGUGAAAUUCGUAGAUAUUCGGAGGAACACCAGUGGCGAAGGCGGCUCACUGGAUCGAUACUGACGCUGAGGUGCGAAAGCGUGGGGAGCAAAC
rnacentral:rRNA from 1 species